rnacentral:rRNA from 1 species
UGAGGAAUAUUGGACAAUGGGCGCAAGCCUGAUCCAGCAAUGCCGCGUGCAGGAUGAAGGCCUUCGGGUUGUAAACUGCUUUUGUACGGAGCGAAAAGGUCUGCCCUAAUACGGUGGGCUCAUGACGGUACCGUAAGAAUAAGCACCGGCUAACUACGUGCCAGCAGCCGCGGUAAUACGUAGGGUGCGAGCGUUAAUCGGAAUUACUGGGCGUAAAGCGUGCGCAGGCGGUUAUAUAAGACAGAUGUGAAAUCCCCGGGCUCAACCUGGGACCUGCAUUUGUGACUGUAUAGCUAGAGUACGGUAGAGGGGGAUGGAAUUCCGCGUGUAGCAGUGAAAUGAGUAGAUAUGCGGAGGAACACCGAUGGCGAAGGCAAUCCCCUGGACCUGUACUGACGCUCAUGCACGAAAGCGUGGGGAGCAAACA